rnacentral:rRNA from 1 species
AUUGAACGCUGGCGGCAUGCCUUACACAUGCAAGUCGAACGGCAGCACGGGAGCAAUCCUGGUGGCGAGUGGCGAACGGGUGAGUAAAGCAUCGGAACGUGCCCAGUCGUGGGGGAUAACGUAGCGAAAGCUACGCUAAUACCGCAUACGAUCUGUGGAUGAAAGCGGGGGACCGUAAGGCCUCGCGCGAUUGGAGCGGCCGAGGUCAGAUUAGGUAGUUGGUGAGGUAAAGGCUCACCGAGCCGACGAUCUGUAGCUGGUCUGAGAGGACGACCAGCCACACUGGGACUGAGACACGGCCCAGACUCCUACGGGAGGCAGCAGUGGGGAAUUUUGGACAAUGGGCGCAAGCCUGAUCCAGCAAUGCCGCGUGCAGGAUGAAGGCCUUCGGGUUGUAAACUGCUUUUGUACGGAGCGAAACGGCUUCCACUAAUACUGGGGGCUAAUGACGGUACCGUAAGAAUAAGCACCGGCUAACUACGUGCCAGCCGCCGCAGUAACAC